UUGAUAUGGCCGACCAACUCCACUCAAAGCCUCACCUUAUAUACCUUACACUACCACACACCACUAUAUCAUUCUCACUACAUCACAAUAUCACAACUUCAAUUUCCUUUCUGCCGUGAGAGUGAGGGAGCAGCAUAGGAAGUAUCGACUGGGUGAGAGAGAGAAAAAAAAAGGGCCGAGCUUCUUGUUUCUUUUCUUUUCUGUCCGUAAACCAGAGAGGGAAGAGGGGGACUUGGGAUUCGGUCUGUCUUCCAUCCGUGAGCUGGUGCAGAGCUUGAGACCAGAGUUCCUUCAUCCAGCCGCAAGCCAGAGCAAGGGAGAGAGGAAGAGAGAGCUAACGGUCUGCAUUUUUUUCUGGACAGCCGAGAGUGAGAAUUGCAGCUGCUAGUUGUGUGUUUUAGGCUUCAAGCUAAGGUAAAUUAUGGACUUAGAUGAAUUGUUUACGAGUUGAUGAAGCUGUCUAUACGCAUGCAUGUGGGUUUGUGAGGUUAGAUGAGGAAUUGAGACUUAAGAAAUCUGGUUUGGAAUGAAUUGAAGCUGCCGAAAGUUGAGCUGGAAUUUUGAGACUUUAAUUAGCUAAUCUGUGAUUAACUGAGCCUAGAUGUAUAUUUGACUAACUAAAAUUAGAUGAUUAAGCUUUGCAUGGAAUUAUUAGUCCGGCUAAGCAAGAGAAAUAAAAUAAAAAGAAACCAGCUUACCUGCAUGUUCAUCCGUGGCUAGCUGGACAGAUUUUUGGAUUUUUGGGAUGUUUGAAGCUGUUAUUUGAAUCUAAUUUUGAACUGGAAACGUUAAUUGGCUAGUUAAGAAAUUGCAUGCCGAAAUUGAGUACUUAAUAUCAUGUUUUAGCCGAGUAAAAAGUUGGAUUUAUGACCAAAUAGCUGCUGGAAAUUCUGUUUAGCCGAUGACAGAUUUAUUGUGGUGGAAUUAUUUGCCAAAAUUACAUGUUAAUUGUUUUAUUUCAUGUCGGAAAAUUUUGAUGGUGGGCUCUAUGAACUCCCACCCUUGGAUUGAUGAUGGAUAUAAUGCUAGUUUAGUGUUUAAAUAGGUAGAUUAAUGAUACCUAGCUGGUCUAGACUCCAAGAGAUGCAUAGUUCAAAAAUGUUCAGAUUUGCCCUGUUUUAAUCGCACCCUUUUUGCAAAAUUUUGAGGGUUUCAUGACUUGUAUAUCAUGUUGAUACGUUGAAUAUAUGGUGUACAAAGUUUCAUUGAAAAAUAUUGAGGUUUGGUUGGUCAAAUAAAUUGAUCUCACAAAGCUAGUAAAUAUGGAACUGUUUCCGUAAUGUUCUGACCAGCUUUCGUAUUUCGGCCAUAACUCUGUGCUCCAAAGUCAGAAUCGAGUGCCGUCAGCGGCAUUUGAAACUAAACAUCCCAGCCUUUCCAACGGUAUAAAAUGUAUGUCCUGGUUCCAUGUAUGUAAGCCGAACCAACCAUUUAAAGAUGACUAUUCCAUUUCUCUGUUUUACAAGAACGAAAUGCUGAGGCUGCAACUUGUGGCUUGAAUUCGAGCUAGUUGUGCACCGGAUUUCAAAAUGAUUCCUUCUGUGAAAUUAUAGAUUUAUGAAUGUAUUUCCCAACGCCUUAAACUAUGCCCAAUUCCGAGUCAAUUUGAGUGAUUUGUGAUCAAAAUACGGAACCUGCCCUGCUCUUGAAAACCCUGAUUUUUAGACAGAUUGGAUGCAAGGCUUGGUAUAGACUUGAUAAUUAAAUUUCUUGGAGUUAAACACCCACCAAAGGUACCAUGAAUGUUCUUUAGACUUCGCUAAACAAAUGAACCAUGUUUAGAGGAUUUUUCCCUUGGUCAAAAGUUUGGAAAAGGAAAUUUUUAUAUACAAGGCAGCUUUGCCUUAAAAUUUUGGAAACUUGAGUGAUUUUGUUAAGCAACUUUCCGUGCUUAUUUUUCUAUGAAAUUUGGUAGAGGGACAACCCUUAUAUGGUAAUAUUAUACUGCUAAUUAUGGGGUUAUUCCGAGACCGUUUCAUGGGUCAAGUAAAUUACCAAAGUUCGAGACUUGAUUUAACAAGAAACUUUUAGUAACUUUGAGCCCAUUUUUGACUAUCUUCCAUUUAGAAUCAUGGAAAAGUGUAUUCUAGAAACUUUUAGUACUUUGGAAGAGGUUUCCAACGCUACCAAGUUUUCCAAUUUUUGACAUGUAGAAGGUGAGAUACGAUCUUUCAAAGUAUCGUAUCAAAACUGAAAAUUUUCCGAAUUCCAUGGAAAUGGAGUUUUUCAAGUACUCCUUAUCCCUUCGAUAUUAUUCAAAUGUUUUAUCCUUGAUUUUCAUGAUGUAGACUUAAUUCCUCUUGUAUUUUGAAACCCCGCUUGAGAGUCUAGAUUUAGGAUAAUGAAGACUUGUUUCACGAGAUUUUUCCUAAAGUUGUACUAUGUUACGAUCUUCAUCAAUAGUAGGGAUUGUAAAUGAUAGAUUAGUACUAUUUGCUCAGGCGCACACAAGGACCCUUAAGAGGAUCUGACAGAGGACGCUUGAACUUCAAAUUGAACCUAUUGCCCUUAUUGCUAGGUGAGUGUCCCUGCUUGUUCUAUGCCUACUUGAUUAAAGUGCUUUCUUGACUUGAUAUGUGAUAAUUGGAAAAAUGGUUUUCUGAUCCAUCGAAGUGGGCAGUGUGUACUUUAUCGCACUAGCUCUUUCGAGUGGUGACUUGCUUGAAAUAUUUUCGUGAAUAUCCUGCUUGCACUAUCUACAUGCUGGACGCAACGUCGCUGAGUGAAUCCCUCGACUAGUCUAUAAUAACCUCAUGCUGGACGCAACGUCGCUGGGCGACCUCGACUAGUCUAUAAUAACCUCAUGAUGGACGCAACGUCGCUGGGUGAAUUCCUCGACUAGUCUAUACUAACCUCGUGUUGGAUGCAACGUCGUUGGGUGAAUCCCUCGACUAGUCUAUAAAAAGGUAUACUCGAGUAAUACCAAACUCUCUCGUGCGGCGUGCGAGCCCGGUUGGGGAAGUAAGUUGGCUGGAGCGUGUUAAGAAAAAAAAAUAAUGAAUCUACAUGGACUUUAGAUAGUGAAAGUAGAUGGAGGGUCAACUGCGGGUAAUUUUGAUCAAGCGCAAGGAAAAUGGCUCCUGAGAGCCCCUGUAUCCUACCCGUGCUGUUACACGCUUUCCUACUUGCUGAAUUUAAGUUGAAAUUACUAUUUUCUAAGUAAUUGAUUUGAUUGCAUGUUUUGGGCAUGAUAGAACGGUUAUUUGACGUAUUUUGCACUGUUAUUUUGUCCUAAUUUUGACUAUUCACGGUGCUAAGAACUGGAAUUUCACUCAUAUUCGACAUUUGUGUGAAUUGUAGGUGGUCGGCAUAAAAAAUGAUCUCGCGAGGCAAAUUUCCAGAAGACCUUUCAUUUCAGAGCGUGGCCACGCCUUGGAAGGUGGAUGAAACCGAAAGCCGGACUGCGGUCCACGUGAACCGCGAGAAGCAUAGGAUAAAAACUCCAAAAGGCUAGCUUUUGAAUUGGGCCAGACGUCUGAGAGUUCCUGGGGCGGCUAUAAAGAAAGGAAAAAGCAAGAUUCAAGGCAUCACUACUUUUAGCCUUAGUUUUACCUUUUUGCAAGAUUGGUCAGACGCUUUUGCUUUUCUUUUGUUUUCUUCUGCGGCGUUGGGUCAGACAUUGGAGACUUUCUCCCUUUCUGUAGUUUUUGCUUUUAUGCGACUCUGACUCCUGAAUUCGCUCCUUCCACCUUUGACAAUUCUCCGUUGGCUUUUGCUUUGUAAUUGCGGCUCCAAUACAAGACAGAGCCAGGUUUUUCAUUGAUUGUUUCCUCGAUUAAUUCAUCCUCCCCAAUUUCUGG
rnacentral:lncRNA from 1 species